UGGGCUGUGCUACCGGUGGCCUCCUCCGUACUUGGUGGCCCAGUCCACCCGUCCGUGAACAGGCUGGAUAGGAGGAGGUCUGGACGAGGUGAUCUUCCCUCCACUGUUGCUGUUGAGGCUAGAAGAUCCAGGGAUCUGAGGAUUCGUGGACUUGGUCUUCCAUCCCUCGUACUCUGUCAGAUCAAAGAGGAGAAGUUGGAGCAGGAAGCUCAACACAACCCAGGAGUCUCAUUCUGUCUCCUCAACACAACCCAGGAGUCUCAUUCUGUCUCCUCAACACAACCCAGGAGUCUCAUUCUGUCUCCUCAACACAACCCAGGAGUCUCAUUCUGUCUCCUCAACACAACCCAGGAGUCUCAUUCUGUCUCCUCAACACAACCCAGGAGUCUUAUUCUGUCUCCUCAACACAACCCAGGAGUCUCAUUCUGUCUCCUCAACACAACCCAGGAGUCUCAUUCUCUCCUCAACACAACCCAGGAGUCUCCUUCUGUCUCCUCAACACAACCCAGGAGUCUCCUUCUGUCUCUUCAACACAACCCAGGAGUCUCCUUCUGUCUCCUCAACACAACCCAGGAGUCUCCUUCUGUCUCCUCAACACAACCCAGGAGUCUCAUUCUGUCUCCUCAACACAACCCAGGAGUCUCAUUCUGUCUCCUCAACACAACCCAGGAGUCUCAUUCUGUCUCCUCAACACAACCCAGGAGUCUCAUUCUGUCUCCUCAACACAACCCAGGAGUCUCAUUCUGUCUCCUCAACACAACCCAGGAGUCUCAUUCUGUCUCCUCAACACAACCCAGGAGUCUCAUUCUGUCUCCUCAACACAACCCAGGAGUCUCAUUCUGUCUCCUCAACACAACCCAGGAGUCUCAUUCUGUCUCCUCAACACAACCCAGGAGUCUCAUUCUGUCUCCUCAACACAACCCAGGAGUCUCAUUCUGUCUCCUCAACACAACCCAGGAGUCUCAUUCUGUCUCCUCAACACAACCCAGGAGUCUCAUUCUGUCUCCUCAACACAACCCAGGAGUCUCAUUCUGUCUCCUCAACACAACCCAGGAGUUUCAUUCAGGUCAACUAGGAAAAGAGUUCAGAAAGACAGAGGAAGUUAAGGAAACAAAGACAUGGAAGAUAGAGUAG
rnacentral:lncRNA from 1 species